ACGGUUAUAAAUCAACAUAUUGAUUUAUAAGCAUGGAAAUCCCCUGAGUGAAACAACGAAUUGCUGUGUGUAGUCUUUGCCCAUCUCCCACGAUGGGCUUUUUUAACA
rnacentral:other from 1 species